CCUACGGGGGGCUGCAGUGGGGAAUAUUGCACAAUGGGGGAAACCCUGAUGCAGCGACGCCGCGUGAGCGAAGAAGUAUUUCGGUAUGUAAAGCUCUAUCAGCAGGGAAGAAAAUGACGGUACCUGAGUAAGAAGCUCCGGCUAAAUACGUGCCAGCAGCCGCGGUAAUACGUAUGGAGCAAGCGUUAUCCGGAUUUACUGGGCGUAAAGGGAGCGUAGGCGGCCUGCCAAGUCUGAUGUGAAAGCCCAAGGCUCAACCAUGGGACUGCUUUGGAAACUGUUAAGCUAGAGUGCUGGAGAGGUAAGCGGAAUUCCUAGUGUAGCGGUGAAAUGCGUAGAUAUUAGGAAGAACACCAGUGGCGAAGGCGGCUUACUGGACAGUAACUGACGUUGAGGCUCGAAAGCGUGGGGAGCAAACAGGAUUAGAUACCCUUGUAGUC
rnacentral:rRNA from 1 species